rnacentral:rRNA from 1 species
GAAUAUUGCGCAAUGGGCGAAAGCCUGACGCAGCCACGCCGCGUGGAGGAAGACACCCCUAUGGGGCGUAAACUCCUUUUAUGUGAGAAGAAGGUCCCGGACGCCGGGAUUUGACGGUACCCCAUGAAUAAGCCACGGCUACCACCGUGACAGCAGCCGCUGUAAUACGGAGGGUGCAAGCGUUGUCCGGAUUCACUGGGUGUAAAGGGUGUGUAGGCGGAACAUGCAAGUCAGAGGUGAAAGCCUGCAGCUUAACUGUAGAAUUGCCUUUGAUACUGCUGUUCUUGAGUACUGGAGAGGCUACUAGAAUUCGUGGUGUAGCGGUGAAAUGCGUAGAUAUCACGAGGAAUACCAGAGGCGUAGGCGGGUAGCUGGACAGAUACUGACGCUGAGGCACGAAAGCGUGGGGAGCAAACAGG